UACGUAGGGUGCAAGCGUUGUCCGGAAUUACUGGGCGUAAAGGGCGCGUAGGCGGAUGUUUAAGUCGGGGGUGAAAGCCCAGGGCUCAACCCUGGAAUUGCCUUCGAUACUGGACAUCUUGAGUACGGGAGAGGUGAGUGGAACUCCGAGUGUAGAGGUGAAAUUCGUAGAUAUUCGGAAGAACACCAGUGGCGAAAGCGACUCACUGGCCCGUUACUGACGCUGAUGCGCGAAAGCGUGGGGAGCAAACAGG
rnacentral:rRNA from 1 species